ensembl:snRNA U2 U2 spliceosomal RNA
UUUGAUACUCGGCCUUUUGGCUAAGAUCAAGUGUAGUAUCUGUUCCUAUCAGUUUAAGAUUUCAUUUCUAAUUCACUCAGCAGUUAUUGAAGUAUCAUUGAUUUUAUUUCCAGCAUACACAGAUGUGAACUCUCUCUGAUCAGAGUCAGGUGAGUCUAG